AGCUUGCUUCUUGGGUGGCGAGUGGCGAACGGGUGAGUAACAUAUCGGAACGUACCGAGCAGUGGGGGAUAACUAAUCGAAAGAUUAGCUAAUACCGCAUAUAUUCUGAGGAAGAAAGCAGGGGACCAUUUGGCCUUGCGCUGUUUGGGCGGCCGAUAUCUGAUUAGCUAGUUGGUGGGGUAAAGGCCUACCAAGGCGACGAUCAGUAGCGGGUCUGAGAGGAUGAUCCGCCACACUGGGACUGAGACACGGCCCAGACUCCUACGGGAGGCAGCAGUGGGGAAUUUUGGACAAUGGGCGCAAGCCUGAUCCAGCCAUGCCGCGUGUCUGAAGAAGGCCUUCGGGUUGUAAAGGACUUUUGUCAGGGAAGAAAAGGGCGGGGUUAAUACCCCUGUCUGAUGACGGUACCUGAAGAAUAAGCACCGGCUAACUACGUGCCAGCAGCCGCGGUAAUACGUAGGGUGCGAGCGUUAAUCGGAAUUACUGGGCGUAAAGCGGGCGCAGACGGUUACUUAAGCAGGAUGUGAAAUCCCCGGGCUCAACCUGGGAACUGCGUUCUGAACUGGGUGACUAGAGUGUGUCAGAGGGAGGUAGAAUUCCACGUGUAGCAGUGAAAUGCGUAGAGAUGUGGAGGAAUACCGAUGGCGAAGGCAGCCUCCUGGGAUAACACUGACGUUCAUGCCCGAAAGCGUGGGUAGCAAACAGGAUUAGAUACCCUGGUAGUCCACGCCCUAAACGAUGUCGAUUAGCUGUUGGGCAG
rnacentral:rRNA from 1 species